UAUAAGUAUAAACGAUUUUAUCGUGAAACCGCGAACGGCUCAUUAUAACAGCUAUAAUUUACUUGAUCUUGACUUCCUACUUGGAUAACUGUGGUAAUUCUAGAGCUAAUACAUGCACCAAAGCUCCGACCUUACGGGAAGAGCGCAUUUAUUCGAACAAAACCAAGCGGCUUCGGCCGUCCGCAGUUGACUCAGAAUAACUAAGCUGAUCGCAUGGUCUUGAACCGGCGACGUGUCUUUCAAGUAUCUGCCUUAUCAACUUUCGAUGGUAGUGUAUCUGACUACCAUGGUGGUGACGGGUAACGGAGGAUAAGGGUUCGACUCCGGAGAAGGGGCCUGAGAAAUGGCCACUACGUCUAAGGAUGGCAGCAGGCGCGCAAAUUACCCACUCUCAGAAUGAGGAGGUAGUGACGAGAAAUAACGAGACCGUUCUCUACGAGGCCGGUCAUCGGAAUGGGUACAAUUUAAA
rnacentral:rRNA from 1 species